rnacentral:rRNA from 1 species
GAUGAACGCUGGCGGCGUGCCUAAUACAUGCAAGUCGAGCGAACGGACGAGAAGCUUGCUUCUCUGAUGUUAGCGGCGGACGGGUGAGUAACACGUGGAUAACCUACCUAUAAGCCUGGGAUAACUUCGGGAAACCGGAGCUAAUACCGGAUGAUAUUUUGAACCGCAUGGUUCAAAAGUGAAAGACGGUCUUGCUGUCACUUAUAGACGGAUCCGCUCUGCAUUAGCUAGUUGGUAAGGUAACGGCUUACCAAGGCAACGAUGCAUAGCCGACCUGAGAGGGUGAUCGGCCACACUGGAACUGAGACACGGCCCAGACUCCUACGGGAGGCAGCAGUAGGGAAUCUUCCGCAAUGGGCGAAAGCCUGACGGAGCAACGCCGCGUGAGUGAUGAAGGUCUUCGGAUCGUAAAACUCUGUUAUUAGGGAAGAACAUAUGUGUAAGUAACUGUGCACAUCUUGACGGUACCUAAUCAGAAAGCCACGGCUAACUACGUG